rnacentral:rRNA from 1 species
CNNGAGAUNCCUGCUCAGUGNCGGGAGUAAAUAGCCGCAGCUACUACUGUGCUAAGGUAGCAUAAUAAUUUGCUUCUUAAUUAGAAGAUAGAAUGAAAGGUUUCACAUUUAAAAUCUGUUUCUUCUAGAUAAAUAAACUUAAGAAAGAAGUAAAAACUCUUCUAUAAAAUAGUGGGACGACAAGACCCUGACGAACUUAAUAUUUAGUUGGGGAAACAAAUCAAAAAAUCUUUAAUUAUUAUUAAUACUAAACUUUAAAAUAAAAUUAUGACUAGUUACUGCAGGGAUAACAGCGUUAUUUAUCUUUAGAGACCUUAUCCAAAGAUAAGAUUACGACCUCGAUGUUGAAUUAACCAUCCUAUUUUACGCAACAGUUAAAUUAAGGUAGUCUGUUCGACUAUUAAAAGGUUACAUGAUCUGAGUUCAAAACCGGAGA